GCCAGCGUAGCUCAAUCUGGUAGUCAUUCGCGCCAAAGGCGCAGUGGCCGACAGCAUCUGACUUGUAAUCAGAAGGUUGGGGGUUCAAUUCCUCCCGCUGGCU
rnacentral:tRNA from 1 species